AUUCCAGCUCCAAUAGCGUAUAUUAAAGUUGUUGCAGUUAAAAAGCUCGCAGUUGGAUUUCUGGUAGGAGCGACCGUGCCGAACUUGAUUGUUCGUGUAUUGUGUUGUCUUCAGCCAUCCUCGUGGAGAACUUUUCUAACAUUAACUUGUUGGGAUUGGGACCCGCGUCGUUUACUGUGAAAAAAUUAGAGUGUUUAAAGCAGGCAUUAGCUUGAAUACAUUAGCAUGGAAUAAUAAGAUAGGACUUUGGUACUAUUUUGUUGGUUUGCAUACCAAAUUAAUGAUCAACAGGAACAGUUUGAGGAUAUUCGUAUGAACAUGUCGGAGGUGAAACUCUUGGAUUUUGAUCAGACGAACUACUGCGAAAGCAUUUAUCAAGGAUGUUUUCAUUA
rnacentral:rRNA from 1 species